rnacentral:rRNA from 1 species
AGAGAGAGACAUGCGCGCAUAUCAAUAAGCGGAGGAAAAGAAACUAACUAGGAUUCCCUCUAGUAACGGCGAGUGAAGCGGGAAGAGCUCAAAUUUGAAAUCUUCAAGGUUCUACCUUGACGAAUUGUAGUUUAAAGAAGUGUUUUCUGUUGGAGUUUUGGUAAAAGUUCUUUGGAAUAGGACAUCAUAGAGGGUGAGAAUCCCGUAUUUGACCAUUUACUUUCCAGCUUUGUGAUACACUUUCAAAGAGUCGGAUUGUUUGGGAAUGCAGUCCAAAAUGGGUGGUAAAUUUCAUCUAAAGCUAAAUAUUGGCGAGAGACCGAUAGCGAACAAGUACCGUGAGGGAAAGAUGAAAAGAACUUUGAAAAGAGAGUUAAACAGUACGUGAAAUUGUCAAAAGGGAAGCGUUUGACACCAGUGUUGUUUUCUCGAAAAUCAAUUAAAAAAGGCAGGAUUUUGUGUUGUAUUGACUUUAUCAGCUUUCUGCAUCUCUUUUCUUGUCUUUUUUAAUGCACUUUUCGUUUAACAAGUCAACAUCAAUUUCUUUUGUUGUAAAAGGGUCAUUGGAAGGUGGCUUUCUUUUCGGAGAAAGUGUUUAUAGCCUUUGGCCUCUGCAAUCGGAGAGAUUGAGGUCUGCAGCGUAGAUCCUUCGGGGUUAGAUACAUUUGUGCUAAGUUAUAGCCUUUCAUAGACAACUUGUUGACUAUGAUCAGUCAUGUAGCUUACUCGCUUAUGCUAUUUUACCUACGCUUAGGAUGUUGAUGUGAUACUGCGAGCA